UCUCUGGCCCACUAUUAGAAAUGCAAAGAACAAGCAUGUUUUCAAAUAGCACUCUGUGCUGCCAAUGAUGUAUCAACACCCUAUGCCAUUACUCUUCUCUAAAUGUGAUAAUAAUGUGAUCUGUUAACAUAAAAAAGUUUGAUGCCACAAAAGCAGCUGGAAAUGGACAACUGAAAUAUGCAUAUAUCUAACUCAUAUCAUCAAAUGCACAGUUUGAUGUAUGUUGUUAAAAGCUUUUCAUAUCUUUCUGUUCCUCUCAAGCAAAAACAGCUCCCUUUGAAUGUAAAUCAAGAAGUUUCAGAGUACUCAUUUCCCAGUGAUGGGUUCUGGGGAGAUGGCUUCCUCAUUUCAGAU